UUUCGCAAUGCCCGAAAGGGUGACGAAGCGACGCCGCGUGGGUGAGGAAGGCCCUCGGGUUGUAAAGCCCUGUCAGGGGUUAAGAAAUGUAAGUGUGCUAAUACCAUAUUUAUUUGACGAAGGCUCCAAAGGAAGCCACGGCUAACUCUGUGCCAGCAGCCGCGGUAAUACAGAGGUGGCAAGCGUUGUUCGGAAUUAUUGGGCGUAAAGAGCACGUAGGUGGGUUUGUAAGUCAGAUGUGAAAGCCUUCUGUUCAACGGAAGAAUUGCAUCUGAAACUGCGAAUCUUGAGUGUAGGAGGGGAGAAUGGAACUUCUGGUGGAGCGGUGAAAUGCGUAGAUAUCAGAAGGAACGCCGGCGGCAAAAGCGAUUCUCUGGCCUAUUACUGACACUCAGUGUGCGAAAGCCGGGGGAGCAAACGGGAUUAGAUACCCCGGUAGUCCUGGCCGUAGACGAUGGGCACUAAGUAGAGGGGUUUU
rnacentral:rRNA from 1 species